UCAGCCAUCACCUCCGUGCUCCUGGGGCUUUCCCCACUGGGGCUGGGAUCGACUUUGGGGCGUGGAGGGAGGAGGGUGAUGGAAGAGAAUUCCCCUCUUCCUGCAGGUCUUCCUUCCUGACCUCGAGUGACCGACCACUCCCUUCCCCAGUCUUUCUCCCCAUUCCCAGGCCCACUCUGAUGUGCUGGCAGGGUAGGAGGGGAGCGGGAGAGUAGAUAGCUUUCACUCACAACUGAGGCAGUCUAACAGCUGUCCUCUGCAGGCGCAGGGGUGGUCACUUGCCUUGGCUGCAUGAAAAAGUAGUCAGAGAUUAGCGUAUGGGCAUGGCCUAGGGGAUGAAGGACCGGAGGCCCAGUCUGGCCCCCAGGAGAGUGACCAGUUGGGCCCCUCCCAGAAUGACUUCACUGGGGCCCAAACAUGGGAGCCAGUGCAGGGUCAGACCCCCUAACUUCACCUCCACAACCUCAUUAUCCAGAGAUCCAGGCAACACUGGACAAGGCUGAGCCCCUAAAUCACACCCAACGGCUUUAUCUGCCCCUCUCAGCAGACCCAGUACUUUUAGCCAGUGACUGUUAUUUUUCAGGGUCAACCGCCAACUCAGUUUUCCCAUUCUGAUUCAUCAAACACAGGUGGAGGCCUGCGGCUGAAGCAAACGGUAGAUGUCAAAGUGUGGUCCCCGGACCAGCAGGAUCAGCAUCAUUAGAAACACCAGUUCUCAGGCUCCAUCCCAUAUGUGCUGAAUCAGAAGCUCUGGGAAAGGGGUCCAGCAGUCUUCUGUUUCAACAAACCCUCCAGGUGAUGCUGGUGCACACUCAGAGUUGAGAACAGGACUGCAGGGCCUAUCUAUCUGUCCUCAGCUGGGCCCUUUCUUCAACUCCUUCACUGGCAGGAUAAAGGCCACUUAAGGGCCUCACUCCUUCGCCCAGACUGGAGAGCAAUGGUGCUAUCCGGGCUUGAAACGCCAGGCUCAAGUGAUCCUCCCAUCUCAGCCUCCCAAGAAGCUGGGACUACAGGCAUGCAUCACCAUGCCUGGCUAAUUUGUUGUUGUUGUAAAGACAGGGUCUCCCUAUGUGGCAUAGGCAUGCUGGUCUCAAAUGCCUGGGCUUGUGCAGUUAUCGCUCCUUGGCCUCUCAAAGUGUUGGGAUUACAGGUGUGAACCACCAUGCCCAGCCAUUUCUUUUUUCUCUUCUUUCUUUGCUCACAGACUUAUCUGGCUGUCAUUUCAACUGGCAAUUCUAAGUAGAUGGCUCCAAUAGGACUUUUAUCCCCCAGCUUCCUCAAACUCCAGGUCUGCAUUUUUAGCAGCUCCCCCAAUGCCGAAGAUGCACCCCACAUCCCAUCAUCCAAACUCAAACUCUCCUUCCUCCACAUUUCCCAAACCAGCCACCACCACCUCCUGACUCCUGACAUCAUCCUGUUACCAUGGUUUCUAAGAUCUUUACCAUCCCCUCACAUUUAUGGUCACGUUUCCUGGUUAAAAACUCAACAUGGCCCUGUGAAUGCAAAGUCCCUGUGGAUCCAAGUAAAACGGAUCCACCAGGACUAGUCUUCAAAAUCAAUAGCCACCAUUCUGUGCAGGAAUCCAUUGCCAGGUGGAAUGCUUGGGCCUUCAUGUCCUCUGGAUUCUAGAGUCUAAAGGGAAGGGCAGGCUUUUAUAGACUCUGCUCGACAUUUGCUGAAGAUUGGGAGCUCCUCAGGGAAUGACUCAGCCCUCCUUGGGCAAAACAGAUAAUAAAUCAGACAAAAUCAGUUCUUUUAUGAGCAACUUGCUAUUGCUGGGUCACUCACUCUAUGCUAAAUGACCCUCUGGGAAGAGUUUCUAUGUUCAUAGUCCUCUGAGACAACAACUACUUUGUGAUGACAGCAGUUAAUGGAUGUUUGAAUCAAAGACAGAGAGAGAUAUAGGGUAAGGGCUAAGGUUAGGGUCCAGGGUCAAGGGCAGUGGCCAGCAUCACGGGGAGGAUUGGGGUCAGGAGGCCACGUGUGAAUGGCUGGAAGCCAUCCUGCUCCCUGCAAGGACAAACCUAUGCCAAAACUGUUCUCAUCUUCAGCCUCUCUUGCUACCAGGAACACCUGACCUCUCACUGCUUCACACCUCACACCCUCCUUCCCAACCCAGAACGACAGCCAUUGUCACCAAGGCCCUCGUGGCAGUACCUGCUGAACCCAGGACUGGCUGUAGGACGCGGAAUGGGGCAAGUAAAGAACCUUCCUUGGAAAUGAAAAUACUUCGUCCUGUCCUGUUCUUCCGAAAACAGAACCUUCCCCGACUCUGCCCUGCCACCUCCCAGAAUCAGAGGACCUGGGUUUCAGCCCCAUUUCUCACUGACCAGCUACAGAACUUACUACAAGAUAACAAGCCCUUUUUGUGUCCUGGUUUCUUCACCUGAAAACAAAACUCGUAAAAUGUUCCCUGCUCACUGUACAGGAUUGAUGUAAUGACGAUAAUGUGCUUGUGUGAAAGCAGUUCACUGUUGACAAGUCACUCUCGUUACAUCAUCUACUUGGAUCUUUACAAACCACCGUGUCAGAUAGGCAAGGAGAGCAUUUGAUACUCUUUUAUGGAUGAAGAA
rnacentral:lncRNA from 1 species